GUGGGGAAUAUUGGACAAUGGGGGGAACCCUGAUCCAGCCAUGCCGCGUGUGUGAAGAAGGCCUUUUGGUUGUAAAGCACUUUAAGCGAGGAGGAGGCUACCGAGAUUAAUACUCUUGGAUAGUGGACGUUACUCGCAGAAUAAGCACCGGCUAACUCUGUGCCAGCAGCCGCGGUAAUACAGAGGGUGCAAGCGUUAAUCGGAUUUACUGGGCGUAAAGCGCGCGUAGGUGGCCAAUUAAGUCAAAUGUGAAAUCCCCGAGCUUAACUUGGGAAUUGCAUUCGAUACUGGUUGGCUAGAGUAUGGGAGAGGAUGGUAGAAUUCCAGGUGUAGCGGUGAAAUGCGUAGAGAUCUGGAGGAAUACCGAUGGCGAAGGCAGCCAUCUGGCCUAAUACUGACACUGAGGUGCGAAAGCAUGGGGAGCAAACAGGAUUAGAAACCCCGGUAGUCC
rnacentral:rRNA from 1 species